CAAAAAGUAGUUUAUGAAAAAUUUAAACUUUGGAAGUUUACGAUGUGAGGUUUCACCUUUUUGA
rnacentral:tRNA from 1 species